CCACCUCCUGGCUGCGCCCCAGCCCGGCCUCUCAGAAGCGGCCGCUUCCUCGUGGACGGUGGAGGCGGCGGCGAGCUAGAGCCCGCGUCCCAGCUCGCGGCCACAGAGAGGCCGGGCGAGCCCGAGCGCGCGGAGACCCAGCCCGGCUCGGCAGGCAGCUCUGCGCGCGGCUGGAGUCAUGGUAUACUGAAAAGGCACUCAAUCAAGAGAAAUCUAGAGGGAGCUGGAAACCAUCAAGUUUUUGAGGCCAUACAGGGGGCAGGAAAGAUAGAGGUUCGCAUUGCCCAGUGUUCUGCAUCCAGCUAUCCUUCCUCACCUUUUUAACCGGACCAUUGUCCUUGGAUCAGGUUUG
rnacentral:lncRNA from 1 species